AAUGGGCGCAAGCCUGAUCCAGCCAUGCCGCGUGAGUGAUGAAGGCCUUAGGGUUGUAAAGCUCUUUUAUCCGGGACGAUAAUGACGGUACCGGAGGAAUAAGCCCCGGCUAACUCCGUGCCAGCAGCCGCGGUAAUACGAAGGGGGCUAGCGUUGCUCGGAAUCACUGGGCGUAAAGGGCGCGUAGGCGGCGUUUUAAGUCGGGGGUGAAAGCCUGUGGCUCAACCACAGAAUGGCCUUCGAUACUGGGACGCUUGAGUAUGGUAGAGGUUGGUGGAACUGCGAGUGUAGAGGUGAAAUUCGUAGAUAUUCGCAAGAACACCGGUGGCGAAGGCGGCCAACUGGACCAUUACUGACGCUGAGGCGCGAAAGCGUGGGGAGCAAACAGGAUU
rnacentral:rRNA from 1 species